CCUCAUAGAACUCUAACUUACCCAAGAAUAUGAAAAUUAAAACAGAUCCAAAUGAAAAUGAAUUAAUAUUGAGGAUUCAUAUAAUAGAAUCCUUGAGGAAUAGUACCUACUGCUCAUAAAUUAGUUAUAGAACAUUCAAGAUUAUAUCACAAACAAUAAAAAGGGAGAAAAAAACUAAAUCACACCCCAUCCUAAAGUAGAUAACGUUAUGCAAACAAAAAAAUCUUUAACACGGAUAAGAGCAUAUCAAGAACAAGAAUACAAACAAGGGGAAAGUACCAGAAAUGUUUUGAGAUAUGAGAGUAGUGUCAACUCUAAAGUGAUCCUCGGACGAGCUAUGGACCCGGAACCGGAAUCAACAACCUCGAACUCAAACUCGAAUCUCCUACGCGCAACUCCGUUCUGUUUCAAUUUUCUUUUCGAAAUAACAUUGAACAAAGAAGCUAAAACACAUUUGGAACUUUCUAUCUGAAUAACUAAAACUAGAAGGAGAAGCCGAUUUUUCUGGUCUCAAAGACGGUGACCAUGGAGAUUUUUUUCCUUUCUUUAUUUUAGGAGGGUGUGGCUAGCUUUUGUUUGUUUUUUUUAUUGUACGUGUGUGUGCUUCUGCUUGUAGCAGUGACGAAGCUCGGCAGCAAUGGAGGAUGGUUAGCGACAGCGAGGUCACAGGGUUUGGGUAGGGGAAGUUGUUGGUGGUUGACGCUUGGGUGUGUAGAAGAAAAGAGUAGAAGAGGGGGUGCUGUUAUGAUUGUGGAUGCCUGUGAUGGUGUGGAUGGGUUCUAGAGUUUCUUUGAGUGAAGAAGAUGAUGUUGAGAUGAGGGGUCUCUAGGUUAGGGGUAACGGCUGAUCAUUUAGGGUAGGGAUUCUAGGUUGAAAUAGAAAAAUCUC
rnacentral:lncRNA from 1 species